rnacentral:misc_RNA from 1 species
UUCAAGUUCUACGAAUUAUGUUCCGAAGAAUGAAGUUUCGAUGGAUGGAAUGAGAUUGGGAGUCAGGUCACCAGAUUUACUUAAACAGCAAAGAAAUGAUGUCAACUAUAAUGUGGAUGUGGAUAAGUCUUUGAUGGGGCAGUCUUCUUUCAAAAAUUGUGGUAAUUUGCCUGAUGUAGUGGAAUCUAGACCGCCUGUGGAGGAUCAGCCAUUUGUUUGUCGAUCCUCAGCUGCAAAUGUGGCAAAUAACUCUUUGCAGGGGUUGGAAAGGAUCAAGCCAAGGCCUCCCAUUUCCUCCCCUGAACAAGGAAGGGAUGUAGCUUAUCAGAGAAAUCAUGUUCAAUUAUCUACUGCGGCUGAAAGACUAGAUAAAAUGCGGGCUUGUAGCGAACCUGUGUCUUCAGAGGGUCAAGUGCCACGGCAAUUGAAAAGUCAGCAGUGCAGGCCUCAAAAGGAUGAGCAGUCUUCUAUUGCUUUCAGGGAAAGGACUGCGACCCGAAAUGAGAUUUCAGUAGGUAAGGGUAGAAUUCCACCAAAAGCCAAAUUAAACAACCUGCAAAGCCAGAGAGCUUCUUCAGCUGCCAAUGCUAUUACUGGAGCCAAAGAUUUUGUUGCUUUG